AGUUCGAUCAUGGUCAGAUUGAACGCUGGCGGGAUGCUUCGCUACUAUGCAAGUCGAACGGCAGCACGGACUUCGGUCUGGUGGCGAGUGGCGAACUGGGUGAGUAAUGUAUCGGAACGCAGCUCGCGGGGAUAACUACGCGAAAGCGUAGCUAAUACCGCAUACCGGCCCUUCGGGGAAAGCGGGGACCUCGGGCCUUCGCACUAUUAGACGCCGAUAACGACGCACCAGCUAGUUGCAGGGUAACGGCUCACCAAGGCGACGAUCCGUAGCUGGUUUGAGAGGACGACCAGCCACACUGGGACUGAGACACGGCCCAGACUCCUACGGAGGCAGCAGUGGGGAAUUUUGGACAAUGGGGAAACCCUGAUCCAGCCAUCCUGCGUGCGGGUGAUGAAGGCCUUCGGGUUGUAAAGCACUCUCUUUGGCAGGAAGAAACGGCACGGGACAAUACCCCGCGCAACUGACGGUACCCGCAGAAUAAAGCACCGGCUAACUACGUGCCAGCAGCCGCGGUAAUACGUAGGUGCAAGCGUUAAUCGGAAUUACUGGGCGAAGCGUGCGCAGGCGGUUCGGAAAGAAAGAUGUGAAAUCCCAGAGCUUAACUUUUGAACUGCAUUUUUAACUACCGAGCUAGAGGCCAGAGGAGGAAUUCCAUGUAGCGGCGGAAACGUGUAGAUGCGCGGAGGAACACCGAUGGCGAAGGCAGCCUCCUGGGAUAACAUCAUUGACGUUUAUGCACGAAAGCGUGGGAGCAAAACAGGAUUAGAUACCCUGGUAGUCCACGCCCUAAACGAUGUCAACUAGUUGCUGGGGCCUUCGGGCUCGGUAGCGCAGCUACCUGGCAGAAGUUGACCGCCUGGGGAGUACGGUCGCAAGAUUAAACUCAAAGGAAUUGAUGGGACCCGCACAAGCGGUGGAUGAUGUGGAUUAAUUCGAUGCAACGCGAAAAACUUACCUACCCUUGACACGUCUGAAUCCUGAAGAGAUUUGGGAGUGCUCGCAAGAGAACCGGAACACAGGUGCUGCAUGGCUGUCGUCAGCUCGUGUCGUGAGAUGUUGGGUUAAGUCCCGCAACGAGCGGCAACCUUGUCAUUAGUUGCCAUUGUGUUGGCACUCUGACGAGAUCGCCGGUACAAACCGAGGAAGGUGGGGAUGACGUCAAGUCCUCGCGGCCCUUAUGGGUAGGGCUUCACACGUCAUACAAUGGUCGGGACAGAGGGUCGCCAACCCGCGAGGGGGAGCCAAUCCCAGAAACCCGAUCGUACUGGAUCGCAGUUCGCAACUCGACUGCGUGAAGUCGGAAUCGCUAGUAAUCGCGGAUCAGCAUGUCGCGGUGAAUACGUUCCCGGGUCUGCACAAUCGCCCGUCACACCAUGGGAGUGGGUUUUACCAGAAGUAGUUAGCCCAACCGUAAGGAGGGCGAUUACCACGGUAGGAUUCAUGAUCGGGGUGAAGUCGUAACAGCAAUC
rnacentral:rRNA from 1 species